UACAGAGGUGGCAAGCGUUGUUCGGAAUUACUGGGCGUAAAGGGCGUGUAGGCGGUCUUGUAAGUCCUGUGUGAAAUCCCUCGGCUCAACUGAGGAACUGCACGGGAUACUGCGAGACUUGAGUUCGGGAGAGGGAAGCGGAAUUCCGGGUGUAGCGGUGAAAUGCGUAGAUAUCCGGAGGAACACCGGUGGCGAAGGCGGCUUCCUGGACCGAUUACUGACGCUGAGGCGCGAAAGCUAGGGGAGCAAACGGG
rnacentral:rRNA from 1 species